rnacentral:rRNA from 1 species
UACGGAGGGGGCGAGAGUUAAUCGGAAUUACUGGGCGUAAAGCGCGCGUAGGCGGUUGCUUAAGCGAGGUGUGAAAUCCCCGGGCUUAACGUGGGCAUUGCAUUUCGAACUGGGCAGCUAGAGUUCUGGAGAGGAGAGUGGAAUUCCCGGUGUAGCGGUGAAAUGCGUAGAGAUCGGGAGGAACAUCAGUGGCGAAGGUGGCUCUCUGGCCAGAAACUGACGCUGAGGUGCGAAAGCGUGGUGAGCAAACAGG